rnacentral:rRNA from 1 species
UACGGAGGGAGCUAGCGUUGUUCGGAAUUACUGGGCGUAAAGCGCACGUAGGCGGCGAAGUAAGUCAGGGGUGAAAGCCCGGGGCUCAACUCCGGAAUUGCCUUUAAGACUGCAUCGCUAGAAUUGUGGAGAGGUAAGUGGAAUUCCGAGUGUAGAGGUGAAAUUCGUAGAUAUUCGGAAGAACACCAGUGGCGAAGGCGACUUACUGGACACAUAUUGACGCUGAGGUGCGAAAGCGUGGGGAGCAAACAGGG